rnacentral:tRNA from 1 species
UGGGUCAUAGAGGACUCGAACCUCUAGCAUAUCGGUUAAAAGCCGAUUACUCUACCAUUGAGUUAAUAACCC